rnacentral:rRNA from 1 species
GCACAAGUAGCGGAGCAUGUGGUUUAAUUCGAAGCAACGCGAAGAACCUUACCAAGUCUUGACAUCCUUAUGCAAAUCUCUUAGCCGAGAUGCUCUCUUCGGAGACAUAAGUGACAGGUGGUGCAUGGUUGUCGUCAGCUCGUGUCGUGAGAUGUUGGGUUAAGUCCCGCAACGAGCGCAACCCUUAUGUUUAGUUGCCAUCAGUUAGGCUGGGCACUCUAGACAGACUGCCGUGGACAACACGGAGGAAGGUGGGGAUGACGUCAAAUCAUCAUGCCCCUUAUGAUUUGGGCUACACACGUGCUACAAUGGUCGGUACAACGGGCAGCGAAGGAGUGAUCUGGAGCGAAUCCUAAAAAGCCGAUCUCAGUUCGGAUUGUAGGCUGCAACUCGCCUACAUGAAGUUGGAGUUACUAGUAAUCGUGGAUCAGAAUGCCGCGGUGAAUGCGUUCCCGGGUCUUGUACACACCGCCCGUCACACCAUGGAAGUUGGGGGCGCCCGAAGCCAGUGUUCUAACCCGUAAGGGAGGAAGCUGUCGAAGGUGAAAUCAAUGACUAGGGUGAAGUCGUAACAAGGUAACCGUAAAGGGCGAAUUUCGCGGCCGCU